rnacentral:rRNA from 1 species
UGCAAGUCGAGCGGUAAGGCCUUUCGGGGUACACGAGCGGCGAACGGGUGAGUAACACGUGGGCGACCUGCCCUCAGCUCUGGGAUAAGCCCGGGAAACUGGGUCUAAUACCGGAUAUGACCUUCUGUUGCAUGACAGUUGGUGGAAAGUUUUUUCGGCUGAGGAUGGGCCCGCGGCCUAUCAGCUUGUUGGUGGGGUGAUGGCCCACCAAGGCGACGACGGGUAGCCGGCCUGAGAGGGCGACCGGCCACACUGGGACUGAGACACGGCCCAGACUCCUACGGGAGGCAGCAGUGGGGAAUAUUGCGCAAUGGGCGAAAGCCUGACGCAGCGACGCCGCGUGGGGGAUGACGGCCUUCGGGUUGUAAACCUCUUUCGACCUUGACGAAGGCCUUCGGGUUGACGGUAGGGGUAGAAGAAGCACCGGCCAACUACGUGCCAGCAGCCGCGGUAAUACGUAGGGUGCGAGCGUUGUCCGGAAUUAUUGGGCGUAAAGAGCUCGUAGGCGGUCUGUCACGUCGGUCGUGAAAACUUGGGGCUUAACCCUGAGCUUGCGGUCGAUACGGGCAUGACUGGAGUUCGGCAGGGGAGACUGGAAUUCCUGGUGUAGCGGUGAAAUGCGCAGAUAUCAGGAGGAACACCGGUGGCGAAGGCGGGUCUCUGGGCCGAUACUGACGCUGAGGAGCGAAAGCGUGGGGAGCGAACAGGAUUAGAUACCCUGGUAGUCCACGCCGUAAACGGUGGGCACUAGGUGUGGGGGCCAUUCCACGGUCUCUGUGCCGCAGCUAACGCAUUAAGUGCCCCGCCUGGGGAGUACGGCCGCAAGGCUAAACUCAAGGAAUUGACGGGGGCCCGCACAAGCGGCGGAGCAUGUGGAUUAAUUCGAUGCAACGCGAAGAACCUUACCUGGGUUUGACAUGCACUAGAC